GACGAACGCUGGCGGCGUGCUUAACACAUGCAAGUCGAACGGAAAGGCUCUGCUUUUGUGGGGUGCUCGAGUGGCGAACGGGUGAGUAACACGUGAGUAACCUGCCCUUGACUUUGGGAUAACUUCAGGAAACUGGGGCUAAUACCGGAUAGGAGCUCCUGCUGCAUGGUGGGGGUUGGAAAGUUUCGGCGGUUGGGGAUGGACUCGCGGCUUAUCAGCUUGUUGGUGGGGUAGUGGCUUACCAAGGCUUUGACGGGUAGCCGGCCUGAGAGGGUGACCGGCCACAUUGGGACUGAGAUACGGCCCAGACUCCUACGGGUGGCAGCAGUGGGGAAUAUUGCACAAUGGGCGGAAGCCUGAUGCAGCAACGCCGCGUGCGGGAUGACGGCCUUCGGGUUGUAAACCGCUUUCGCCUGUGACGAAGCGUGAGUGACGGUAAUGGGUAAAGAAGCACCGGCUAACUACGUG
rnacentral:rRNA from 1 species